AGAGAGAGACAUGCGCGCAUAUCAAUAAGCGGAGGAAAAGAAACUAACAAGGAUUCCCCUAGUAACGGCGAGUGAAGCGGGAAGAGCUCAUAUUUGAAAUCUUAAAGGGUUUCCCUUUACGAAUUGUAGUUUAAAGAAGUGUUUUCUGUUGAGGUUUUGGUAAAAGUUCUUUGGAAUAGGACAUCAUAGAGGGUGAGAAUCCCGUAUUUGACCAUUACUUUCAACUUUGUGAUACACUUUCAAAGAGUCGGAUUGUUUGGGAAUGCAGUCCAAAAUGGGUGGUAAAUUUCAUCUAAAGCUAAAUAUUGGCGAGAGACCGAUAGCGAACAAGUACCGUGAGGGAAAGAUGAAAAGAACUUUGAAAAGAGAGUUAAACAGUACGUGAAAUUGUCAAAAGGGAAGCGUUUGACACCAGUGUUGUUUUUCUGAAAAUCAAUUAAAGAACUGUUUAUGCUAAGUUGUUUAGACUUUAUCAGCUAUCUGUUUAGUUUUGAGCUUUUCUUUAAUGCACUUUCCAGUUAACAAGUCAACAUCAAUUUCUUUUGCUGUAAAAAAGCUUGAGGAAGGUGGCUUGAGAUUCGUCUUAAGUGUUUAUAGCCUCUUGCCUAUGCAGUCGGAGAGAUUGAGGUCUGCAGCGUAGAUCCUUCGGGGCUAAAUGCAUUUGUGCUAAGUUAUAGCAUUUUAUAGACAACUUGUUGACUAUGAUUUGUCUUGUAGCUUACUCGCUUAUGUUAUUUUACCUACGCUUAGGAUGUUGAGCGCAUGUCUCUCUCU
rnacentral:rRNA from 1 species